rnacentral:rRNA from 1 species
CGGACGGGUGAGUAACGCGUGAGUAACCUGCCUUACACAAGGGGAUAGCCGUUGGAAACGACGAAUAAUACCCUAUGACAUAAACUCUUCGCAUGAGGAGCUUAUCAAAGAUUUAUCGGUGUAAGAUGGACUCGCGUCUGAUUAGCUAGUUGGUGAGGUAACGGCCCACCAAGGCGACGAUCAGUAGCCGGCUUGAGAGAGUGUACGGCCACAUUGGGACUGAGACACGGCCCAGACUCCUACGGGAGGCAGCAGUC